UUUUUUUUUUUUAGAUUAAGGAAAAGUAUUAUCGCUGUGUUAUAAGCUGAACAUACAUAUUCUUGGUUUGUCAUUUGACUUUUCAUUUUGAUUUUGAUUGUGAUUUUUGAUUUUGAUUGUGAUGUUUCUUAGUAGGCAGAACUUGUUUUUAUUUAUCUGUUUUUUAAUGAAGUUACAUAUUUCACCUUUUUUUCUUGUGGAUUCUCAGUCAUCAUCAAGAGGCCUUCCUUACACCACUGAAGGAAAGUAAUUAUUCAUUCCUGUUUGUUUCUAAACCUGUUUUGGUUUAAUUUUUACAUUUGAUUUUUAUUUGAUUGAUCAAGCAUUGUUUAAAGUAUGAGUAUAGAUUCAACUUUUUAAAAAAAAUUUUGUAAAAUUUUUUAAACUCCACUUACAGUUAUUAUGAAAUAUUGGCCAUAUUCCUUGCGUUGGACAAUCCAUCCUUAUAGCCAAUAUUAUACCCAACAGUCCGUACUUUCCACUCCUCCACCUCUGUAUUGCCCCUCCCCCCACUGGCAACCAUAGUUUAUUCUCUGCAUCUGUGAGUUUGCUUCUUUUUGGUUAUAUUCACUAGUUUGUCGUAUUUUUUAGAUUCCUCCUAUAAGUGAUAUCAUACAGCAUUUGUAUUUUUCCGAUUUAUUUCACUUAGCAUAAUACCCUCCAAGUUCCUCCAUGUUGCUGCAAAUGGCAUUAUUUUAAUUUUUUAUGGCUGAGUAGUAUUCCAUUGUAUACAUAUACCACUUCUUCUUUACCCAUUCAUCUACUGAUGGUCACUUAGGUUUUGCUUCCAUACCUUAGCAACUGUAAAUUAUGCUGCUAUGUACACUGGGGUACAUGUAUCUUUUUGAAUUACUGUUUUGUUUUUGGUUUUUUUUCAGGUACAUACCCAGGAGUAGAAUUGCUCGGUCAUAUGGUAGUUCUCUGUUUUUAGUUUUUUGAGAAACUUCCAUACUGUUUUCCAUAGUGGCUAUAUCAAUUUACAUUCCCACCAACAGUGCAGGAGGGUACACUUUUCUCCACAUCCUCACCAUCAACUUAAAAUUUUUUUUAUUAAUAAAAAUACCUUUAAAACCACAUGGCUCCCCAGUCAUUCUAGCACUAGAUUGAGAGGAGUCCAUGGUUUCCCCAUCAAUUUCAGAAGCCAUCUCUAUUAGAAAUUAAAUUCUCACAGCUAAAUCUGUAUCUGGAUUUUCUAGAUUUUCUGGGCUUCUCUGUUCAUUCAUGAUCCAGUAUCACUCUAUUUAUCUACUGAGACUUUAGUUUAUAUUUUAAUGUCAGGCAUUAAUGCUAGAUUCUCCACAUUGCUCUUCAUUUUCAAAGUUUUCCAACCUGUUUUUUGUUUGUCUUCCCAAAUAAACUUUGGCUCAGUUUUGUCUCAUUCAAACAAAAGAAAAACAACAGAAACAAAUUACUGAUAUUUAUAUUUUGUUUCCAAUCAUUUUACAAACUGUCUUAGAAUGUAGAGAGAAUGGGCACCUUUGCGAUGGUCAGUCAUCCUAAGAAUUUAGUAUUUUCCAUCUACGCACAUCUCCUUUAAAGUGUCAUUAGUGUGUGGUGGGGUUUUUUGUUUGUUUGCUGUGCUCGUGGCAUGUGGAAGUUCCUGGGCCAAGGAUCAAACCCACCCCACAGCAGUGACCCAGGCUGCUGCAGUGACAAUCCUGGAACCUUAACCCACUGUACCACAAGAGAAAUCAUUCAUUAGUGGGUUUUUGUUUGGGGGCUUUUGUUUGUUUGUUUGUUUGUUUUUUGUCUUUUUAGGGCCACACCUGUGGCAUUUGGACUUUCCCAAGAUAGUGGUCAAAUCUGACCUACAGCUGUGGCUUACACAACAGUCACAGUAAUGCUGGAUCCUUUAACCCACUGAACUUCUGCAACCUGCACCACAGCUCAUGGACAUGCUGGAUCCUUUAAUCCACUGAGCAAGGCCAGAGAUUGAACCCCUAUCCUCGAGGCUAUUAGUCGGGUUCUUAACCUGCUGAGCCACUACAGGAACUCCCGUUAGUGUUUUGAAAUAUUAUUCGUAUAGGUAUUGCAUGUUUCUUGUUUUUUCUAUCCCCAGUGAUUUUUGUUGCUAUUGUAUGUGGGAUUUUCUUCUUUGAUAUUCUCUAGCUGGUUGUAAUUUGUAUAUAUAUAAAAGACAACAAUACCUGCAUAAUCAUUUUGGGACUCAUUCUUGUUGCUCUGACUUCUUAUCGCUGUGAUAACCUCCUUUACCAUAUCCUAGGUAGAUUCUGUCUUUAAAAUCUACUUUCUACAUAUCUAAAUCCUGCCACAUCCCCAGUUAAAGCCACCUUCAUUCUCAUUCGAACAACACAAUAGCCUCCUUGAUCCCAUCCUCCACAAAACAGCCAGAAGGAUUUUUUUUUUUUUUUUUUCCCAAAAUGAAAGAGUGUCUUGCCAUCUCCUUGCCCAAGAAUCCUCCAUGGCUUCCUCCUGUUCAGAGUAAAAGGCAAACCCCUCUCCUGAAAGGCCCCACAUCACCGGGCCCUGGCUCACUACAGCCCUACUCUCCAUCUCCUCCUGCUCCUUCACACAACUCCGCCCACAGGGACUUCCUUGGGCUCUGGAACCCUCCUUCUUUCCUAUCUCAGACCUUGUUCUGCUGUUUUCUCUGCCCGGAAUUUUUUCUGCUUGUUCUUGAAGAGGCUGGCGCCUUCUUGCUAUCUCAGCUUCAGGUUAUCUGGCACUUCUCAAAGAGGCCUUCUCUGUCCACCUCAUCUUAACUAUCUCCCCUUUAAUCUCCCCUACAAUACUUUGAACAGUGUUUAAUUAUAUAUUUGUUCACCUGUUUACUUAGUGUUUCUUUUCUCCACUCAACCGUGAGCUUCUCUGCUCUCUGCCCCACUGCAUGGUACAUAGUAGGUGUUCAAUAAAUAUUUAUUGAAUAAAUAAACAAAUGUCUUCCUUGUUUAUACAGUCAGGGGGUAGGUAAGCUUAUACUUUUCCCUGCUACUCAGUUAUUAUUCUCCAAUCACAUUUUAAACCCACACUUACUAUAUAUCAAAUGCUUAUAUUUCUAUCUAAAUCAUAAUCUUCCCUCAAAAGCCAGACAUAGCUAUCAUAAAUCUCUUCUUAGUGUUCACCUAAACACAAUGUAUAUGAGCUUAUUUUCAAAGUGUGAAACACACAUCAAAGGUUACAGGAAAAGCUAACAUUAUAUAUAAUUUGUGAGAAACAUUUCCAUAAGGGUGGUGAUAAAGUAUUUUCUUUAUUAUUGUCUCUUUAUUUAAAAAAACUAUUUUCUCAUUAAGAAAGUAAUUUAUUUUUUAUUUUAUUUUAUUUUUUGUCUAGGGUGGCACCCAAGGCACAUGGAGGUUCCCAAACUAGGGGUCAAACUAUGCCACAGCCACAGCAAUGCCAGAUCUGAGCUGCAUCUGUGACCUACACCACAGUUCACAGCAACACCGGAUCCUUAACCCACUGAGCAAGGCCAGGGAUCAAACCUACAUCUUAAUGGAUACUAGUCAGAUUUGUUUCCAUUGAGCCACAAUGGGAACUCCUAUUCUUAUUGUAAAACAUAAGCAAAUUAUGGAAAUGGGUAUCAUAGACAUAUAAAAAAUAUAAAAGAUCUUCAUAAUUCCCAGUCUCAGAGAUCAUAGUCAAGGUUAUAAUGCGACGUGUACUCAUCGUUCUACACUUCUUUUUCUAUGCAGAUGCUAUUGGAGGACAGGCUGAGAUUUUGUUGUGGUGGUUUUAUUUUGUUUACAGUACUAUAGGAACCAAUUACACAAACCCCACUGUGACUUACUUCCUUAAUAAUACACCUUGGACAUAUUUAUGUGCUAAAACACACUGCUUUUCCUGACUCUAAACUGCCUAAUAUUUCAUUGCAUUUACUCUCUCUUAAUGGUUUCCCUCCCUUUCUACCUUAUCAGUGACUUGGGGAGGACAGAGUCUUGAAUUGUAUAUUUUCAAUUUUUGGGACCUCCAUCCCUCCUGGACACGAGGAGCAAAGUCACCGCCCAGGAGUCAUUUCUCUCCUGUGGCCUCUUUUUUGUCAGAAAAGGUAACUUAGAGCAAAAUGUAAGUUCCAUGAGAUUCAGAUUUGUGGUCAGAAUUAAUGAACUGAAUAAUCAGCUUUAAGAAGUACUGAUUAAAAAAAAAAUUGUGGGUGCAUUUGUGUUACAACUGUAAUGAGAAUUCCAGUCCACUACCACCUUGGGAAGAUUGCCCAAAAGAACAAUUACAACCUCCAAAGUGUUACUUUUUGUAACUGCAACUCUAGCACAGGUCACAGAAGUAGCUUAACUUUAUUUUAGUUAUGCUUGCCAUGAAUGCCAUCAAUACGUACUGUUCAACUUAUUUUUAAGUGGGGGUGGGGGAACCAAUUUUCUUUCCAACUUCUAAUAUGGAAUUGGCAAGGUGCUGAUGGCUAGGCUUAUGUUUCAGGAAGUCACCUAUUUUGUGUUAUUGGUGUCAAGUAAUACUAAGGCAAUGCACGGUGAAUACACCAUUACUUGUUGGUAUUGAUUUGAUGUCAGUCUCAUUCGUGGGUCAACCUGUGCAUGCAAUGCAUCUGUGUUUGUUUUUUGUUUGUUUUGCUUUCUAGGGCCACACUAUACCUCAGCCACAGCAACACUGGAUCAGUCACUUCUGCAAGCUACACUGUAGCUCAUGGGAAUGCCAGAUCCCUAACCCAUUGAGCGAGGCCAGGGAUCUAAUGUGCAUCCUCAUGGAUCCUAGUCAGGUUCAUUACUGCUGAGCUACAAGGGGAACUCCCACAUCUGUGUUUUUGAACAUCAGUUUGGAAAAUGAAGUUAUCUCUCCCU
rnacentral:lncRNA from 9 species